GACGGAGGAUGCAAGCGUUAUCCGGAAUGAUUGGGCGUAAAGCGUCUGCAGGUGGCAGUUCAAGUCUGCUGUCAAAGACCGGGGCUUAACUUCGGAAAGGCAGUGGAAGCUGAACAGCUAGAGUAUGGUAGGGGCAGAGGGAAUUCCUGGUGUAGCGGUGAAAUGCGUAGAGAUCAGGAAGAACAUCGGUGGCGAAGGCGCUCUGCUGGACCAUAACUGACACUCAGGGACGAAAGCUAGGGGAGCGAAUGGG
rnacentral:rRNA from 1 species